rnacentral:lncRNA from 1 species
CUCUAUUGACCAAGAAAGUUCUAGCAGAUGGCAUUCCGUGCAUCUCUACCAAACCUAGACUGUUGCCUUCGUUGAUGUGCACAGAAUUCGAAAAAAAAAAAACUGUCGAGUUCUGCUUUCCUUAGGGGGUCUCAUUCAGAGCCCAUCUUCCCUCUUCCAAGCCAGACCGGGAUUGCAGCAUCUGGGAUCCCCCUUUCCUGUCCUUCUUCAAUUGUGGAAAGGCUGGAGGACAUCCCCUGAAAUGCUCCCAGCCUAUGGCAAGAGAAGGUAGGAGGCCAAAACCAGUUCCUGAGCCACAGGCAGACCCCCGUCAUCUCCUCAAUGAAGAACCUGGAAUUGUUGGUGUUGACAUGAGGUCCUACAGGACACUGCCCUCUGUCCACCUCGGCUCUGAGCCAUCCCCAGAAGGCUCUAUGAUGUCAGCUGCAAAACAGUCAACAAUCACAUGUACCCACCUCUAAACACUGAGACCCUAAAGUGACUCUUGUAAUCCAAGAGAUGAGUUUUGGCACCAAUCUAGGCCAAUAUCCUUCGACUUUCCCCUGAGUCCCCUGAACAGACUUCGAGGAGGGCUUUCUCUUGAUCAGCUCUCCCCAGAUCCUCACAACCUCCAGGACCCUCCUUUUGAAAGCGGAGCCCAUUGUCCUGGUUCUCUCCCCCUUGAUUGUUACUGACGUUGGGGACUUGUUCGGACACCUCUGGAAACACAAACAUAAUCAGAGCAUCUUGCAUGUUCGGACUGUUGGUUCGCGCUCAUGCUUAACACUGAGUGAAUCAACUGAGGUGAUAUACUGGGGACGCGGACUGAGCCAAGCCAGGAAUGACCUCUUCAGGCCUCAGAUUCUGGUUCAGAGCAGCAGAGACCAAUUUCGUCAAGGCCUUCAUCUGGACAAGGGCUCACAUGACCCAACCCAGCCUGUGUGGCCCUCCCAGACCGUGAAGGGACAGUCCUCCCGGCUGCUUCUGACCCCUACUCAGCGGAGGCAAGUCCUCUUCGCCCACGUACCCCUACAUGCC